rnacentral:rRNA from 1 species
GACGAACGCUGGCGGCGUGCUUAACACAUGCAAGUCGAACGGAAAGGCCCUGCUUGCGGGGUACUCGAGUGGCGAACGGGUGAGUAACACGUGGGUGUUCUGCCCUGCACUCCGGGAGAAGCCUGGAAAACUGGGGCUAUUACCGGGUAGGAGCGAUCUUGAGGGUUAUGGUGGGAAAGUUUUUUCGGUGUAGGAUGAGCUCGCGGCCUAUCAGCUUGUUGGUGGGGUAAUGGCCUACCAAGGCGGGGACGGGUAGCCGGCCUGGGAGGGUGGACGGCCACAUUGGGACUGAGAUACGGCCCAGACUCCUACGGGAGGCAGCAGUGGGGAAUAUUGCACAAUGGGCGCAAGCCCGAUGCAGCGACGCCGCGUGGCGGAUGACGGCCUUCGGGUUGUAAACCCCUUUCGCUAGGGACGAAGCUUUUUGUGACGGUACCUAGAGAAGAAGCACCGGCUAACUACGUG